rnacentral:rRNA from 1 species
AGUGAACGCUGGCGGUAGGCCUAACACAUGCAAGUCGAACGGCAGCACAGUAAGAGCUUGCUCUUACGGGUGGCGAGUGGCGGACGGGUGAGGAAUACAUCGGAAUCUACUUUUUCGUGGGGGAUAACGUAGGGAAACUUACGCUAAUACCGCAUACGACCUACGGGUGAAAGCAGGGGAUCUUCGGACCUUGCGCGUUUGAAUGAGCCGAUGUCGGAUUAGCUAGUUGGCUGGGUAAAGGCCCACCAAGGCGACGAUCCGUAGCUGGUCUGAGAGGAUGAUCAGCCACACUGGAACUGAGACACGGUCCAGACUCCUACGGGAGGCAGCAGUGGGGAAUAUUGGACAAUGGGCGCAAGCCUGAUCCAGCCAUACCGCGUGGGUGAAGAAGGCCUUCGGGUUGUAAAGCCCUUUUGUUGGGAAAGAAAAGCAGCAGGUUAAUACCCCGCUGUUCUGACGGUACCCAAAGAAUAAGCACCGGCUAACUUCGUG